CACAUUCUCUUCCUCUCUCUACAGUAACGUCUCUCCCUAGCCUCUCUCAUCCUCUCCCUCAACCCCUUCUCUAGCGACGGUUUGCGACGGUUCACGGCGGUGCUUUCCUCCUAUAAUCUUGUGGAGCUCCUUAGCACAUUCGGUUUUCCCCUGUUUUGGUUGUUUCGAGUUGCAAAGGGCUCGUUCAACCUCGAAGGCGCUCGUUCGACUUGUUUUCUGCUUUGUGGGGAACUCCUUUUGUUUGUCGUGGGUUGUUAGGGUAGAUUUUUGUGUGUUCGUCGCAUUUUGGGUCUGUGUUUGUGUCGAUUUUGUGAUUCCGAGUUUGGUUUGAGGUUGAGCCUUCAAAAACCAAAUCUAGUUCAAUAUUUUUACUCGAUUUCAUUAAUAAAAUCUUUCUUUCCGUUCAUAUUUUUAAUAACAAGUGGUAUCAGAGCUUUUUGGUAUAUUUUUGCUUUCAAAAUUGAGUAUUCUUUUUCUUUUGAGGUUUUUUGGUUGAAUAUAUUUAGAUCUACAAAAGGAUCUGGUUGAAUCGAACUAUUUUAAGUGUUUUUUAUUCUUUUCCUUAUAGAUCUAUCUAAUAUUGGUUGUAAAUCGUUAGAUCUAUCAAGGAUCUGGUUGAAUCGAACUGUUUUAAAGUGUUUCGAUUCUUUUCCUUGUAGAUCUACUCAAAACCGGCCGAAAUAUCACUCGAUCCGUGCUCUCUAGCCUCUGUCGAGUGCGAUUUGUGUUAAUCGUGACUUAACCGCUACAAAUCUGUGUAGUUUGGUUAAGUUUGAAUCUAGUUUUGGUUAGUUUCUUACAAAAUCGUUUUAUUUUUUGAUAAACGAAUUUUGUUUUCAAAACUUUAUUUAAAUAAUAAGUGUAAAUCGGGAUAAGUUGCCUCUAUUUUUGUAAAGUUUUGUUAAAGAUCCUUGCGGAUCUAUAAUUGGGGAGUCAAAAUCUAAAAGAUUUUUUUUUAAAUCUUAAAAAUUUUGGUAAAUAUUUUUGGAAGAUCUUUAUAUUUUCAAACUAAAUCUCGUUUGAAAUCUUCAGAAUCUUUAAACCUUGUUUGUUUGUGUUCAUUUUUUAGUCGGCAUUGUGUAAUAUUCAAUCUGUUUCAGGGAUUCUAUAAUUUGUUAGAAGAGACAUUUUUGUGUUUGUUUUUUGUUUUUUGUGAAACUGUUUUCACUAACCCCUAUUUUCUACAAAAGAGAAUAGGUUUGUUUUCUGUGAAUUUCCUACUGUUUUGUAGGAAUAUAAAUUUUUUGUUGUUUUGCUACAAGGGUAACCCCUUAACUCACAUUAUUUACUGUUUUGUGUUUGUUUUAAUUCUAUGCAUUUAAUUUUUUGUGCUCAAAAAUAAAUUGUAAAGGCUAUUUUGAAACCUAGGUUACUAAACUCCGAUCCUCACUUUGUGAGUGAUUCUCGAAUACCUCGGUUGAAUAUUCAUGAAUUUAUGUUGUAAUAGUUAAGUGAUAUAUUUUCUUUGAUUGCCUAAUUUCUUGUUGUGAUUAUCUCUUGUGUGUGAUAAUUUGUUGUUGUUUAUUUUCGUGUGAUUUGCUUGCCAUAUAUAGUCUGUUUUGGUGAAAUUAAAAUAAAUAAUUUUUUGAAAUUUAAAAACAGAUUUUUUUUUAAAAAAAAAAGGAAAAUUUUUAAAAUCUGGUUUAAAAACAUAAAAAAUGGUUGGUAGCUUUAGUUCUGUCUUUUGAUGGGAAAAUGAAUUUUGCAAUUUGGAAACAAAAAAUGUGAAGCAUUUUAGUCACUCAAAGAAUAAUUAGAGCAAUUGAGCCGGAUCAUGUAGCUCAAGUUCCUCUAGAGAUGAGGGCUGAGUUAGAUGAAAUGACUUACUCUAUUAUAAUAUUCAAUUUAGCAGAUAAUGUAAUUAGGAAAGUAGGUAAGCAAGAAUCUGCUUUGAAAUUAUGGAAUAAAUUGGAUGAACUAUACACGCAAACUUCACUUCCUAGUAGGUUGUAUUUUUUAGAAAAAAAUUUUAGUUUUAAACUUGAUUUGUCAAAAUCAAUUGAUGAAAAUCUGGACAGUUUUUCAAAAUUAAUAAUACAAGAUAUAAAACUUACUGGUGAUAAAAAUAUUGACGAUUAUAGUGCUAUAGUUUUGUUAAAUGCAAUUCCUAACUCAUACAUGGAUGUGAAAUCUGCUAUUAAAUAUGGGUGUGAUUUUGUAACAUUAGAUGUAGUCAUUAAUGAGUUGAAAUCUAAAGAAUUAAAUUUAUAAAUUCAUAAGUCCAAUAAGAUAAUAAGUCAUGCAUACUAGAUGUAGGUCUCCUUUUAGAUCAAAUUAAAAAGGUAAUUCUGAAGAUAAUAAUAAUAGUAAUAAAAACCAGAAUAGUAUAAAUAAAUAUAGAUCUAAAAGUAGAGGAAACAAUAGAUCUAAAACUCCAAAUAAAGGGGGUAAAAGAUGUUAUCAUUGUGGUAAUCCUAACCAUUUUAUACGUGAGUGUCCUAAAAAGAAGAUUAAUAACAUUACAAACAGUAAUAAUAAUGGUAGCCAACAGCAUGUUAAUGAGUUAGCCAAUAUGAUAUUACUUGAUCGAAAUUGUGGUCAUGUGUUUACUGUUACUGUCGACUGCUUGAAUGUAAACAAUGUAUGUAUGAAUGAAUGACUUAUUGAUUCUGGAUGCACUUACCAUAUGACUCCAUUAAAAUAGAUUUUUUGUGAAUACAAAACUUUAGUAAAUUGCAUUGUUUCCAUGGCUGAUAAUAGUGUUUCUAAUGUGUUUGGAAUUGGUAGUGUAAAUUUAAAAUUUAACACAGGUUUUGUGCUAAAAUUAAACAAUGUGAGACAUGUUCCUGGUUUAUCAAAUAAUAUGCUAUCUUGUGUUGCUUUAUCAGAUUUAGAAUUAGAGGAAAAAUGGAGAAAUGAUCGUAUGAAAAUUACUAAGGGAUCUUUAGUUGUGUUUAAAGCUAUAAACGUAAUAAUUUGUACGUUACUUGUGCUGAACCAAUUAAUAUGUCUGUAAACACAAUAAAUUCUGUUAAAAAGAAUAGUGAUUUGUAGCAUAAGAGAUUAAGACACUUAAGUAAUAAAGGAUUAGAAAUUUUACAUAAAAAUGGAUCCUUAGAAAAUGUAAAAUUUAAUCCAGUGUCCUUUUGUGAUAAUUGUGUGUAUGGUAAACACCAUAAGGUCCAAUUUCCCCAUCUCCCUAGUGAAAAACAUGAAUUAUCUAAAUAUGUAUUGGAUUAUUUACAUGCUGAUGUGUGGGGCCCAAUUUCUAGAUAUUUUUUAUCCAUUAUUGAUGAUUUUUCUAGAAAAACAUGGGUAUUUCUUAUGAAGAAUAAAUUUGAUGUGUUUGAUAUUUUCAAAAUUUGGAAAAUUAAAAUUGAAAAUCAAACUGGAAAGAAAAUUAAAUAUCUUAGAACUGAUAAUGGUUUAGAAUUUUACAACUCCUGGUUUGAUGUUUUUUGUCAAGAAAAUGGUAUAAAUAGACAUAGGACUGUCCCCUAUACAACCCAGCAGAAUGGGGUGGCUGAGAGGAUGAACCGGACUCUCUUGGAGAGAGUUCGAAGCCUUUUGGCUUUAUCCGGUUUGUCUAAAAUUUUUUUGGGGAAAGCUGUUAUGACAGUAGCUUAUAUAGUCAAUAGAUCACCCUUCAUUCCUUUGAAUGGUGCUUGUCCUGAAUUUAAGUGGACUGGUAGGAAAAUUGAUUUUUCAAAUAUUCGGGUGUUUGGGUGUUCUGCUUUUAUACAUGUUAAUAAUGACAAAUUAGACCCUAGAGUUGAAAAAUGUGUUUUCUUGGGUUAUCGGGAGGAGUUACGGGUUAUAGAUUAUGGUUAAGGUCUAGACCUGGUUUUAAAACUGUUAUUAGUAGAGAUGUUGUUUUCAAUGAAAAUGAGAUGCCUUGUUUAAAUAUUGAAAAAUCUGGUUUGGAUAAAUCUGAAAUUGAUGUUGAAAAUUUAGACUCUAGUAAUACUCCAAAUGAGGUGGAGUAUAAUAUUGUUAGUAUAGGUGAUGUAGAAAAUAUAGAAAAUGAUGUUGAAAUUCGUGUAGAAUCUGCUGUGAGAGAGGAAACUGUUACUGAAAAUGAUAAUAACAUUUCUGAAGAUCAAAAUGAAUCUGAUUUUAAUAAUAGUAAUCAAAAUGAGUUAGAAAAUUACCAAAUGUCUGGAGAUAGGGGUAGAAGAAUCUCUAGGUUGCCUACUAGGCUUGGUGAUUUUGAUUUGUCUUCUUUGGCUUUUAGUGUAUUUGAGAAUUUAGAUGGUAAUGAAUCUAAGACAUUUAGGGGGGCCAUAAAUUCUGAAAAUAAAAAUCAGUGGUUAAAAGCAAUGAAAAAAGAAAUUGAUUCAUUAUAUGAUAAUAAAACUUGGUGUUUGGUUCCUAAACCUCUUAAUUGUUAUCUUGUUGAUUGUAAAUGGAUUUAUAAAGUUAAAUAAGAAGAUAAUGGAAUUAGAUUUAAAGCUAGAUUAGUAGCUAAGGGUUUUACCCAAAAGGAAUGAAUAGAUUAUAAUGAAAUUUUUGCCCCUGUUGUCAAAUUUACCACUGUUAGAAUUAUGUUAGCUCUAGUUGCAUUUUAUGAUUGGGAGCUAAAACAAUUGGAUGUUAAAACAACUUUUUUGCAUGGUGAAUUAAAUGAGAAGAUUUAUAUGAAACAACCUGAAGGUUUUAUUGAUAAAAACAAAAUGAAUCAAGUUUGUUUGUUAAAUAAAUCUUUGUAUGGUUUAAAACAGUCACCUAAUGAAAUAUCAAAUUUGAUAAUUGUAUGAAAAAUCUUGAUUUUAUUAAAAGCAAAUUUGAUUAUUGUUUGUAUUUUAAGACUGUUAAAAACCAACCUAUUUUUCUUCUCAUUUAUGUUGAUGAUAUGUUGAUUAUUAGUCCAUGUUUAAAGCUUAUUGAUCACGUGAUUAAGUUUUUAUGUGAUAAUUUUGACAUGAAACUGUUGGGUGAUGCCAAAGUGAUUUUAGGCAUGUGUAUCACUAGGGAUAGAAAGAAUUCUAGACUGUUUUUUAAUCAAUCUACUUAUAUUUCGAAAAUUCUUAAGAAGUUUUCUAUGAGUGAUGCUAAAUCUGUUUAUGUUCCUAUGGCUUUUAGUUUUGUGUUAAGUAGGGAUCAAUGUCCUAAGUCGGAAUCUGAUUUUGAAUAUAUGAAACAUAUGUCAUAUUCUAAUGAAUAGGUUCCAUAAUGUACUUAAUGGUUAGUACUAUGCCAAAUUUAGCUUAUGCUAUUAGUUGUUUAAGUAGGUAUAUGUCGAACCCUGGUUUAAAACAUUGACAUGCAUUGAAAUGAGUUUUUAGAUACUUAGUUGGUACAAUAAAUGUUGGUCUUGUGUAUGGCAAAAAUAUUGAAAAUGUUAAAUUAGAGGAUUUUGUGGAUUCAAAUUAUGCAAAUAAUAGAGAUAGUAAGAAAAGUACUACUUCCUAUGUUUUUACUUUGUGCGGAACUUGUAUAAGUUGGAAAUUUCAAUUGCAACAUAUUGUAGCACUAUCCAAAAUAGAACUUGAAUAUGUUGCAAUAACUGAAGCUUUAAAAGAGGCAUUUUGGUUAAAAGGAUUAAUCAGUAAGUUAGGUUAUACAACAUGUUGUUACUGUUUUCGGAUAGUCAGUCGGGAAUCCAGUUGUGCAAAAAUCCUGUAUUUCAUGAUAGAACAAAACAUAUUGACGUGCGUUUUCAUUUCAUACGUGAUAUUGUAUCUAAAGGAAUUUUAAAAUUAGAAAAUAUUCCUUCUGAAUAUAACCCAUCUGAUAUGGGUACUAAGGUUCUAGCUGCAAAUAAAUUUGUAUCUUGUAUGAAAUACAUAUAUGGGUGUGUUUGUUUGAGGGAUUUGUUUGGAUUUCCACUAUUCAUCCUAUUUUUUCCCCCCAAAAACAUCAAAUCAAAUACCUAUUUUUUAUUUUUUAUAUUAUACUAAAAAUCAACUUUACAUUCAAAACAUCACAUCAACACCUAUUUAUAUCACAUCAUACAACUAUUCAAAUUCAAAAUUUUUACUAUUCAAAUCCCAACUCAAAAUCCAAAUCCUCAAACAAACACACCCAGAGGGUGUAGUAGGUAGGCUAAGUUAAUAUUUUUUACUAACAUUAUGUUUUUUUUUCUUUUGUGCAGGUAAAAAAUAUGGGCAAUGAUGUACCCCAUCCACUCGGACGAAAAAUCAGCCCAUGAAAAUCAGGCCCAAACCCGCGACCCUUGGGCUGACCCGUACCCUCGACCCGCGCCUGCGACCCACGACCUGUUGAGGAUCCGCGUCUUUCUUAGACGUUGUGCUGACCGUCCGAUUUGGGGUUUUAAUCUUGAUCGUUUGGAUCUCUUUUGACCUAGGUAUAUAUAUGGAGGAUGAGAGAGAAGCCGUCUAAUAUACACAUUAUCUUCCUCUCUCUCUAGCUUCUCUCAUCCUCUCCCUCAACCCCUUCUCUGGCGACGGUUUUACGACGGUUCACAGCAGUGCUUUCCUCCUGUAAUCUUGUGGAGCUCCUUAGCACGUUCGAUUUUCUCCUGUUUUGGUUGUUUCGAGUUGCAAAUAGCUCGUUCAACCUCGAAGGCGCUUGUUCGCCUUGUUUUCUGCUUUGUGGGGAACUCCUUUUGUUUGUCGUGGGUUGUUAUGGUAGAUUUUUGUGUGUUCGUCACGUUUUGGGUCUGUGUUUGUGUCGAUUUUUUUAUAACGAGUUUGGUUUGGGGCUGAACUUUCAAAAACCAAAUCUAGUUUAAUAUUUUUAUUCGUUAAUAAAAUCUUUCUUUCCGUUCAUAUUUUUAAUGACAUUUCGGAUGAAGCCUAAAGCAACCAUGUGAUCACAAAUAUUUGAUUCUCCCUAAGCUUUUAUUUUUGGAUAUAUAAGCUUCUUAGUAAAUGAAAAAUAGAAAAGUUACAAAUUGAUAUAUAUAAGCUUUUUUUUUCGUUUUGUUUUGUUGUCCUUUUUUUUUUUUAAUUUUUUUUUUUUAUGCAUGUCUAAUAGAUAUCCUAUAUUUGGUAAGUUUAUAUAUUUGUAGGUAAAAACAGAAUAUAGUUGUGAAAUUUCUUUUGUUACAAAAAACAAAAAUUAUGAAUACAGUAAAAACCUAAUCUACUUGUGGAUUUUUCUCAUUAUUUGAAUUUGUUUUGGAACAUGCCUUUGUUCUUUGGUUUACGAUCAUUUUUGAGGAUUUUAAUAUAUCUUUUAGCAUUAAAAUUCAAAAACGAUUAUUUGGUUUGUUGAAGGUGUUAUAGUACUUGUAUGUGUGUAUAUACAAUUAUGCUAUAAAUAUUAUACUGUGAAUGUAUAUUGUUUCUUAAUUAAUUAGUUGGGAUGUCGUUGAAAUUAAGUUGUUACAAAACAAGUAAUCUUUGAUUGAAGAAUUGUGCUUUCUACCUUAGUUUUUUCUGAGUUGGAGCAUUGGAUUUAUUAUGUGAUGUACCGAUAUAUAUAUAUAUAUAUGUAUGCUGUUGCAGUUUGGUGGUAUUGAUCCAAAAAAGUUGUUACCAAGAAAAUUUCUGGAAACAUAUACUGUAUGUUUUAGUCUUCUUCACCUUGGAGCCUCUGCCUAGCUUUGUAAAUGAAUUUUGAAUGCUUCUGCAACCCUGAUGGAAUGACAAGCUACGCAAUGAAGGGUGUUUAUUAUUAAUGUCCCUGGGAUAAUUAUUAUAUAUGGAUGCUCAUCAUCCUAUACAUUCAGCUGGAUGGUCAUCAUCUUAUUGGCAACUACGUACUGCAUGUUAUACGCCAAUCUGAUUCCCAUGCAUGCAUGUUUUUCCUUAGCUCGCUCUUGAUCAGGCCCAAUCAUUUUUUAAUUUGCUUCCUUCAAAGCAUGCAUUAUCAAAAAGGAAGUGUAUAUAUGCAACAUCAGAGCAGCUGAUGGUGCAAUAUUUUUGCAGUUAAAUUUGCGACUGCUGAGGCAAUGAAUUAAUGACUUGAGUUUCAUCAUGCUUACUUUUCUUCUGGUCUUAAUAUUUUGUCAUUCAUGCCCAAACUUUGUGCAUAUAU